GACCUGGUAGCGAAAAGGAAACGCACCCUGGGUGAUUUGUCAAGAAAGAUGUCAAUGCGUAAUCAGUCGAGGGGGAUUCUGGUUCGAGUCCAGGCUGGGUCA